rnacentral:rRNA from 1 species
AUUAAACGCUGGCGGCAUGCCUUACACAUGCAAGUCGAACGGCAGCACGGGGUGGUAACACUCUGGUGGCGAGUGGCGAACGGGUGAGUAAUAUAUCGGAACGUGCCCAGUCGUGGGGGAUAACGCAGCGAAAGCUGUGCUAAUACCGCAUACGAUCUCUGGAUGAAAGCGGGGGACUCGCAAGAGCCUCGCGCGAUUGGAGCGGCCGAUAUCAGAUUAGCUAGUUGGUGGGGUAAAAGCCCACCAAGGCGACGAUCUGUAGCUGGUCUGAGAGGAUGAUCCGCCACACUGGAACUGAGAUACGGUCCAGACUCCUACGGGAGGCAGCAGUGGGGAAUAUUGGGCAAUGGGGGGAACCCGUGACCCAGCGACGCCGCGUGGGUGAAGAAAUCCUUCGGGAUGUAAACUGCUUUUGUCAGGGAAGAAAUCUUCUGGGCUAAUACCCCGGGAGGAUGACGGUACCUGAAGAAUAAGCACCGGCUAACUACGUGCCAGC